rnacentral:rRNA from 1 species
CACGUAGGGGGCGAGCGUUGUCCGGAUUUAUUGGGCGUAAAGAGCUCGUAGGCGGCUCGGUAAGUCAGGUGUGAAAACUCUAGGCUCAACCUAGAGACGCCACCUGAUACUGCCGUGGCUAGAGUCCGGUAGGGGAGCAUGGAAUUCCUGGUGUAGCGGUGAAAUGCGCAGAUAUCAGGAGGAACACCCGUGGCGAAAGCGGCUCUCUGGGACGGUACUGACGCUGAGACGCGAAAGCGUGGGGAGCAAACAGG